rnacentral:pre_miRNA from 1 species
GCCAACAUUUGACUGUCCGUCUUAUAUGAAAUUUUUUUAUAAUUAGUAUUUUUUAUUGUUGUUAGAUGAUAAAACAUGAUUAAUAUUUUAUGCGUGACUUAUCUUUUUAAUUUUUUUUCAUAAUUUUUUUAAAUAAGACGAACGGUUAAACGUUGGACAUGGAAACC